rnacentral:misc_RNA from 1 species
AAGUCGUAACAAGGUUUCCGUAGGUGAACCUGCGGAAGGAUCAUUAUCGAACGCCUUUACUGGCUUCACUUGGCUGUGCGCCUUCGGGCUGCACGCCGUCCACACACACCGUGCACUCAUCGGUGGGGCAACCCGCCGCAUUACAAAACACUAUGUCUCGAAUGUAAAACAUUAAAUUUAAAUACAACUUUCAGCAACGGAUCUCUUGGCUCUC